GGUGGUUUCCGGCGGAGGUGGUGAGAGUCGCACGCGCAGCGGGGAAGGUGUGAGUCGUGAACGGCCCGGGUCUCCGCCAUGGCCUCUCUACUCGCCAAGGACGCCUACCUGCAGAGCCUGGCCAAGAAGAUCUGCUCCCAUUCGGCCCCGGAACAGCAGGCGCGCACGCGGGCUGGCAAAACUCAAGGCUCAGAAACUGCAGGGCCCCCAAAAAAGAAAAGGAAGAAAACACAAAAGAAAUUCCGGAAGCGAGAAGAGAAGGCUGCUGAGCACAAGGCCAAGUCCUUGGGGGAGAAAUCUCCAGCAGCCUCUGGGGCCAGGAGGCCUGAGGCAGCCAAAGAGGAAGCAGCUUGGGCUUCCAGCUCAGCAGGGAACCCUGCAGCGACUGCAUGAGAAGAUCCAGGAGGCCCGGGGCCAGGGCAGUGCCAAGGAGCUGUCCCCUGCCGCCUUGGAGAAAAGGCGGCGGAGAAAGCAGGAACGGGACCGGAAGAAGAGGAAGCGAAAGGAGCUGCGGGCGAAAGAGAAGGCCAGGAAGGCUGAGGAGGCCACGGAGGCCCAGGAGGUGGUGGAGGCAACCCCAGAGGGGGCCUGCACGGAGCCGCGGGAGCCGCCCGGGCUGAUCUUCAAUAAGGUGGAGGUGAGCGAAGACGAGCCGGCCAGCAAGGCGCAGCGCAGAAAAGAGAAGAGGCAGAGGGUGAAGGGGAACCUCACGCCGCUGACCGGGAGGAACUACCGGCAGCUGCUGGAGCGCCUGCAGGCACGGCAGAGCCGGCUGGACGAGCUGCGCGGCCAGGAUGAGGGGAAGGCGCAGGAGCUGGAGGCGAAGAUGAAGUGGACCAACCUCCUCUACAAGGCGGAGGGCGUGAAGAUCCGUGACGACGAACGCCUGCUGCAGGAGGCCCUGAAGCGCAAGGAGAAGCGCAGGGCGCAGCGGCAGCGCCGGUGGGAGAAGCGCACGGCCGGCGUGGUGGAGAAGAUGCAGCAGCGCCAGGACCGGCGGCGGCAGAACCUGCGCAGGAAGAAGGCGGCCCGCGCCGAGCGCCGCCUGCUCAGAGCCCGCAAGAAGGGCCGCAUCCUGCCGCAGGACCUGGAGCGCGCAGGCCUGGUCUGAGUCUUUCCCACCUGGGGCCGCCGUCUUCCGUCCUAGGAGACUCCAGGACACCCUCUGAGUCCUUGACGCUGGCUCUGUCCCAGGAUCUCCACAGACCUCGGCCUCUCCAUGUGAGGGGGACACAGUGGUGCUCUGCUGAGUUGUGAGGGCCCAGAUCACAGAUCCCAUGUGAGAAAGAGAGAGUUUCAGCGUCAUCCUUGAACGCAGGAUCCGGGACCUUCAGACCCAGGGAAAGGGUGAGGGAGACUGGGGCCUGGUCUGCUUUCCCGGGCCUGAAAGCUUCCCCGAGGUUUGCAGGGUCAGGGAGGAGGAACGGUGGGGGUGGGCAGUCACUGCCUGUUCCCCACUGCCUGUGUUCGCAGGAGCCACGGGACAGAAGACGGUGGCCUCUGCUGCCGGGCCACGUUAGUCCGCAGCUCACCCGAACAGAGGACAACCCUGAGGUGUGGCAUAUGGGCACCUGGCACUGGGAGUCGGGGGAGCACGUCCAGGCGUGGUGCAUCCUGGGGCAGAACGCCAUGGCUCCUCCCCGCUCUCUUGGCUUCUGCCUGUUGGGGUCUCAUUCCUUUCUGUUCCCCAGUGCCCCGGGGCGGCAUUUUACUGCUCAGAAUUUGGAGGGAGGGAGCAGUACCUUCCCGGAGUCCACGCAUGUGAGUUGGGUCAAGUGCAUUGGACCUAGGGAAAGAGAAAGAAAGAAUAAAAGCUGGAGAGAGAGUGAAGUGAAUGCAAGAUACAAAGUGGGAUGGAAGAAUUAAAUCCAGAGUUCCAGGCAAUCAAAAUGAGUGCAGGUUGAAAGAAAACAGGUGAAUUUUAGUGGCAUAUGGAUGAUAAAGCUGUAAAUAAAAUUCUUUUGAUGAAACUCUCCGGUUAUGAGACAAAGACUGUAACUGAACAGGAGCUGGUGUGACUGUUACCAGACAGAGGCAACUGAUGAAAAAGCCCUGUGAAAGAUAGGAUGUGAGGUGAGCAUGAGCUUGAGCUGAGAGACAGACACAACAGUAUCUGAAAAGAAUACAUACUCUUUCCAUGCAUAUAUGGAACAUGGAUGGAAACUGACCACCUACUUUGUCCAGAAAAGAAGUCUUAAGAUAUUUCAAGGAAUCAGUGUCGUUAUCUGACCGUAUCCCAAUGUCAUUAAAAAAAAUUUGAGCUAUUUUUUUUU
rnacentral:lncRNA from 1 species